rnacentral:rRNA from 1 species
UACGUAGGGUGCGAGCGUUGUCCGGAAUUAUUGGGCGUAAAGAGCUCGUAGGCGGCCUGUCGCGUCGGAUGUGAAAGCCCCGGGGCUUAACCCCGGGUCUGCAUUCGAUACGGGCAGGCUAGAGUGUGGUAGGGGAGAUCGGAAUUCCUGGUGUAGCGGUGAAAUGCGCAGAUAUCAGGAGGAACACCGGUGGCGAAGGCGGAUCUCUGGGCCAUUACUGACGCUGAGAAGCGAAAGCAUGGGGAGCGAACAGG